rnacentral:rRNA from 1 species
AUUGAACGCUGGCGGCAGGCCUAAAACAUGCAAGUCGAACGAGUGGCGGACGGGUGAGUAAUGUAUGGGAAACUGCCUGAUGGAGGGGGAUAACUACUGGAAACGUUAGCUAAUACCGCAUACCCUCGGAUGUGCCCAGAUGGGAUUAGCUAGUAGGUGGGGGAAAGGCUCACCUAGGCGAAGAUCCCUAGCUGGUCUGAGAGGAUGACCAGCCACACUGGAACUGAGAAACGGUCCAGACUCCUACGGGAGGCAGCAGUGGGGAAUAUUGCACAAUGGGCGCAAGCCUGAUGCAGCCAUGCCGCGUGUAUGAAGAAGGCUUUCGGGUUGUAAAGUACUGUCAGCGGGGAGGCGUUACCCGCAGAAGAAGCACCGGCUAACUCCGUGCCAGCAGCCGCGGUAAUUC